rnacentral:rRNA from 1 species
UCUCAGUUCGGAUCGGAGUCUGNAACCCGACUCCGUGAAGCUGGAUUCGCUGUAAUCGCGCAUCAGCCAUGGCGCGGUGAAUACGUUCCCGGGCCUUGUACACACCGCCCGUCAAGCCAUGGGAGCCGGGAGUGCCUGAAGGCCGUGACCGCAAGGAGCGGCCUAAGGUAAAACUGGUGACUGGGGCUAAGUCGUAACAAGGUAGC